AUGGGGUGUCAGCAUAGGGCUGUGUGCGGCUUCCAGACGAGGACGCCCUGUGUUCGGAAGACCGUGUCCUCCUGGCCGAGAGCUGACCCUGGGUGUUAUGGCAGAAUGGCCCCAGCCAGACCAGCCGACCAAGACCUGGAGGGCUCUUCUGCAUUUUCUGAACACUCUGAAAAAAGAAUCGAAGCCCAACCAACCAAACAAACAAAAUCUCUGAACUCCAUCUGGCUCCGCGGCACGUGCCUGCUACGGUCAGAUUCACAGAACGCGGGCGCGAACUUGCUUCCAUUUAAUUAGCCAUUUCCUCCAGGUGCUCAGCAGGGGAGAGGCAGCAGGGCAGAGCGGACACUACCUGGCUUGCUGAGAAGCCAGACUGGGCGCUGCCUGGGCCUCAACUGUCUUGACUAUAAAGCAAGAAUACGAAUGCCUAUCUUGUGGAGGUGUUUGUUCGUUUGUUCAUUCAUUCAUUCAUUCAUCAU
rnacentral:lncRNA from 1 species